rnacentral:lncRNA from 1 species
GCGGGGACCUCCCAGUCUCAGCCGCUAGCUGCGCAGCCCAACUGCAGCCUACACAAUUCAGAAACCGUUGCUAAGGCCGCUCUUGGCGCCCUCUCAAGCAGCCCCGCCCACCAGGCUUGCGUACUGAUUGACAGUUAUUCUACCCAGUAAUUAGAAAAGCGGGCCCUUGAAGCCGGGCCCCUCUCUCUACUCUCUACCAAUAGAGUAACGCUCUGCCUUUCCUAGCGGACGUUAAGCAGAACUUUCCGUCUAUAUCUUAGCGACCAGCCCCACCCAUCCGCCCCGCUGGCUCCGCUUCGCACAUGCGCAAGAUGAGGGCGGAGAAGGGGGCGUCUUCGUCCCGGUGCUUCGUUGUCCCAGUGCCAGGCAGAACGUCGUCUGAGGUGGGAAGCUGGGAUCUGAACCCUCGCGUGAAGAUGGAGAAGAGAGCGAGGCUUGAACUCACGACCCCAAGAUCAAGACCUGAGCUGAAAUCAGGAGUCAGAUGCUUAACCAACUGAGCCCCGCAGAUCAAGAACACAAAGUCAACAUAAAGCACAGAACAUUAUUCUGGUGAGAUCAGGAUCUGCUACCUGGGCGUAAAAGGUAAAUAGUAACUUUUUAUUGCUAUUUACAGUAACUACAGUAACUAACAGUAACUAUUUAUUUAUUAUAUAAAUAUAUAUAUAUAUAUAUUUUCAGUAUACAAGUCUUCAUAUAUAUGUAUUCAGUAUACAAGUCUCUCUCUCUCUCUCUCUCUAUAUAUAUAUAUGAAUGAAAUUGCUAGGUCAUAUGGUGACUCUGUGUUUAAUUUUUUGAGGAACCAGGCUGUUUUCUACAUCAGUUUUAUGUUCCCAUCAGCAAUGUACAGAGGUUCCAAUUGUUCCAUACCCUUGACAACACUUGUUAUUUUCUGUUUUUUAAAAUUAUAAUUAUCGCAGUGGGUGUGAAGUAAUAUCUCACUGUGGUUUUGAUUUGCAUUUCCAAAUGAUUAGUUAUGUUGAACAUCUUUUCAUAUACUUAUUGGCUAUUUUUUUCAAAGGUUUUUUUAUUUAUACACUUGAGAGAGAGAGAAAGUGAGAGACAGAGCAUGAGCAGGUGGGAGAGUCAGAGGGAGAAAGAGAAGCAGAGUCCCCACUAAGGGAGCCUGACUUGGAACUCCAUCCCAGGACCCCAGGAUCAUGACCUGAGCUGAAGGCAGACGGUUAACCAACUGAGCCCCCCAGGCGUCCAUGGCUACUUUUGUAUUUCUUUGGAGAAAUAUCUAUUCAAAUACUUUGCCUACUUUUACUUUUAAAAUGGGUUGUCUUUUUAUUGUCGAGUUGUAAGA